ACCGGGGAUUGCUUAGUACGGCGAGUGAAGCGGCAAAAGCUCAAAUUUGAAAUCUGGUACCUUCGGUGCCCGAGUUGUAAUUUGGAGAGGGCAACUUUGGGGCCGUUCCUUGUCUAUGUUCCUUGGAACAGGACGUCAUAGAGGGUGAGAAUCCCGUGUGGCGAGGAGUGCGGUUCUUUGUAAAGUGCCUUCGAAGAGUCGAGUUGUUUGGGAAUGCAGCUCUAAGUGGGUGGUAAAUUCCAUCUAAAGCUAAAUAUUGGCGAGAGACCGAUAGCGAACAAGUACAGUGAUGGAAAGAUGAAAAGAACUUUGAAAAGAGAGUGAAAAAGUACGUGAAAUUGUUGAAAGGGAAGGGCAUUUGAUCAGACAUGGUGUUUUGUGCCCUCUGCUCCUUGUGGGUAGGGGAAUCUCGCAUUUCACUGGGCCAGCAUCAGUUUUGGUGGCAGGAUAAAUCCAUAGGAAUGUAGCUUGCCUCGGUAAGUAUUAUAGCCUGUGGGAAUACUGCCAGCUGGGACUGAGGACUGCGACGUAAGUCAAGGAUGCUGGCAUAAUGGUUAUAUGCCGCCCGUCUUGAAACACGGACCAAA
rnacentral:rRNA from 1 species